rfam:Triticum aestivum genome assembly, contig: Triticum_aestivum_CS42_TGACv1_scaffold_275884_3DS
UUUCUACUCCUUCCGUCCGAAAAUACUUGUCAUCAAAAUGGAUAAAAAGAGAUGUAUCUAAAACUAAAAUACCUCUAGAUACAUUUCCUUUUAUCCAUUUUGAUGACAAGUAUUUCCGGACAGAGGGAGUAUUUG